CAACUCGACUCCAUGAAGUCGGAAUCGCUAGUAAUCGUGGAUCAGAAUGCCACGGUGAAUACGUUCCCGGGCCUUGUACACACCGCCCGUCACACCAUGGGAGUGGGUUGCAAAAGAAGUAGGUAGCUUAACCUUCGGGAGGGCGCUUACCACUUUGUGAUUCAUGACUGGGGUGAAGUCGUAACAAGGUAACCGUAGGGGAACCUGCGGUUGGAUCACCUCCUUACCUUAAAGAA
rnacentral:rRNA from 3 species